GAUUUCUGGCCUGGUGCGCCCUGUCCGCCGCCGUCAGGCGUGUGAGUACGGGGUUGUGCCUGCCAUCCUUCCGGGGCGCCCGUCUGCCCUUCACUGGGUUGGGCGGGUCACCUGGAUCGUUUACUUUGAAAAAAUUAGAGUGUUUAAAGCAGGCGUUUGCUGUGAAUACAUUAGCAUGGAAUAAUAAAAUAGGACUUUGGUUCUAUUUUGUUGGUUUCUAGGACUGAAGUAAUGAUUGAUAGGGACAGUUGGGGGUGCUAGUAUUCGGCGGCCAGAGGUGAAAUUCUCGGAUUCGCUGAAGACUAACUUAUGCGAAAGCAUU
rnacentral:rRNA from 1 species